rnacentral:misc_RNA from 1 species
AAGUCGUAACAAGGUUUCCGUAGUUGAACCUGCGGAAGGAUCAUUAACACGUAGACAAACGUUAGCCACUGAUAAACACACCAAUUUCUGGUUGAACAAGCCUUUGAGUCAGGAACCUCUGUGCAGUGCGAGCUACACCCACUCUAGAAGCGCUAGUUCCAUCGGCAUUGUUUCCCCAAGCAGCCAGUGCGUGAAAGUGGCAACUGACUGUGCAAGGAUAACGCUUAACGAUUUUGCAGCCGCAACACGCGGGCAGACUUUGCCAAAGGGUCCCCAUGCCCCUUCUGCCGAUUUCACAUACAAAGCUCCAUUUUCAAUUUUAGAUGGGUAAAACCGAACAACUGUUAACACAAUGGAUAUCUUGGUUCUG